rnacentral:rRNA from 1 species
CACGGAGUUAGCCGAUGCUUUUUCUUCAGGUACUCGCAAAGCGCUACACGUGGCGCCCUUUGCUCCCUGACAAAAGAGGUUUACAAUCCAUAGGACCGCCAUCCCUCACGCGACUUGGCUGGUUCAGCCCUGCGGCCAUUGACCAAUAUUCCUCACUGCUGCCUCCCGUAGGAGUCUGGUCCGUGUCUCAGUACCAGUGUGGGGGACCUUCCUCUCAGAACCCCUACGCAUCGUCGCCUUGGUGGGCCGUUACCCCGCCAACAAGCUAAUGCGACGCAUGACCAUCCGUAGCCGGAAUCGCUUCCUUUAAACCCACGGAGAUGCCUCCAUGGGUUGUUACGCGGUAUAGACGGAAUUUCUUCCGCUUAUCCCCCUGCUACGGGCAGGUUUCAUACGUGUUACUCACCCGUGCGCCGGUCGCCGGCGGGAGUAUUGCUACUCCCCCGCUCGCCCCUCGACUUGCAUGUGUUAACGCCUGUCGCUAGCGUUCACUCCUGAGCCUAAGGACUACGAAACUUCUCGUACGG